rnacentral:lncRNA from 1 species
AGAGAACAUGGCAGCAGUUGGGCUGGUGGCUUGCUCAUAGCCACAGAGGCCAACCCAUAAUCCUGGGUAUGUUAGUGAUGGUGGUGAGAUGAGGGGAGAGGCAAGUGCUUUGUACAUUGAGUACCUCACCUUCCAGCAUGGGAUCCAUAGCAGCUUUUGAACAUUGGUCCCUUUAGAAUCAAACACUGGCAAUGUAACUUUAAUCAUAGGGCUAUUUACUUUUUUUCCGCUACAAUCUUGCAAAUUUUCAAAAAGAUUAUGUGAAACUGCAGUUAACAAUCUGUAAAUUGUGUCUCUUCAGACUAAAUUGUUCUUUGCUGUUGAUGAAAGGCUGUAAAAGCAUUCUGGUUUUUAGUCCUUAGAUGAGUUAAAACUGAUGGUGACUCUAGCUAAACUGAAACAAACUGUCUUUAUCUCAUCUGACCUUUUUUAGGAGAUGUUUAUGUAUCUUUCUUACAUUAUUAGAGUACAUAGUUUAGUUGGAGGACAGGACAGGGGCAUUCUUGUUGCAUGUUGUUGAUUGAGAAAGAAGCAAGCAAGUGGCCUUAUCCUUAUGAUGCUUGGUGAAGCAAUUAGCAUUGUGGAAUCAAUGUUAUAAAAACCGGCUCCGCAUAACCUAUUGCAGGCAUCUAAAAAUCUAGAUUAGGUCUAACCCAGACACAGUUUCAAGUAAGGAGGGGGGUCAUAUAAUAUGAUAUUGUCACUCAUCCCUAUCAUUUCUUAUUACUGUUAUAAACAGGAAGAUUUCGAAUCUAAAAGUAAGACUUACUUGUUUGAACCUGGGAUUCUGGCCCAAACUAUACCCACCACAUUUCCACAGAGAAGGUUCAAGUCCCUGGAUGCCUAUGCCAAAUGGAUUCCCCCAUUCUCCCAAGAAUGCAAAUGAUGACAAAUUGACCAAAGCUUCUGGACUUUCCUCUCUAAAACAGGGUCAAUACCUGAGUUAAGACAGAGAAUUUCAAGUCUGUGAAUCUCAGCUUUGGUUCUGCUUCUUCUCUGCAGUUGAGAGAAUUUAUGAAGCCAAAAAAAGUACGAUGCCACCCCAUACAGAAUCAGAGCUGUAUUUAUUUUGCCCUUUGGUAUUCCAUUCAACAUUGAGAUUUGUAUUUCUCCAAAUCAGGGUGGGAAAAGAUUUUCUAAGGCACAGUGGGAGAGGUGCUGAUUGGUAAAGAGUUUGCGGAGGUGAAAGUAGAAAGAUUGACUUGUGAGCUGUCUCCAAGAGGAAUGAAUGCAAAACAUUUGAUUUCCCUGUUUGUUUUUUGUUGCAGAUACCUUGACUAUGAAUAAUAGUUUCAAUAAGGAAGACAGAAUGAGUUCUGACACGAUGGUUGGGAGCUGUGACAGGCAGACGAAAAAUGGAGCCAAAUGGCAUGGAGGUGUGUCAUCACUGCUGGAUUUUACCUUGAUCUACAUUCAGUUAUCUACUUCUUUUCAAAAUGCUGGGCAUUCAUUCAAGAAACAGCAUAUAUGUUCUGACUUUGAAGUAAUGGAUGAACUGUCAUGUGCAGUAUAUGGAAAUAAGUUUUAUUACCUUCUUCCCACAUUAACUCAUCCAUCCAUUCAAUAGCCAUUUAUUGAGAAGCUCACUCUGUGUUAGGCACAGUGGUGUCAUGAUGUUGGAACAGUAACAAUAACUCAACCAACCAGGGCUUGUCUGAAUACAAUCCUACAGCAGCAGGAGCUGUGGAGAUAUAGAAGGCAAGGAAGACCAGGUUGUGAGGGAAGACGAAUUUACUCCCAGGAAUGUUGGGAUUGAGAGUAAUAUUCUCCAAUAAUGGUGGAAGACAGAACAAUAAAAGCCCACCAGCUCCUUCUGCAUGGUGGGAUAAGAGAAAAGCCAAGGGCAGAAGUGAGAAAAAUAACCAUCACCAAACUGAAAAGAAAACCUUUAUAAAAAAACUGGAUUGAUAAAUGACCUUUAGUAGUGGAAAGAUACCAUUCCAAUGAAGCAUGAAUUGAAAGGAUUUCUUCUGAAAGCUAAUUUACAUUUUUCUUUUUUUUUUUUUCAUUUUCAGUGUGUUUUAGCAGGUGUAUUGUUCUACAUGGUUAGUUUCUUUACCUCUUUGAGAAAAAUGGGUCAGCUUGACACAUCUGGAUGAAAGAAUCCGUUAGGUGAUUAUGAUUGAAGACAGAUUAAGCCUUGUUAUGAGGGGAAUAUUUGGGGGCUUACCCUGAGGUGAUAUUUGAUGAUUUAGCUGUGGGAGAAUUUCCCUCCCAAGAUCAGCGUGACUGACACUGAAAUUGCUACAGGGGAACCGGACCUUUCCAAGAGGUGACAAGGACAUUUACCUGGUACAACACAAUGGUUCUGGACUGGAAGUCUAGUCCCAUUGAUGAAGUUCCCAAAAGAUGUCCAGGUCCUAAUCCCUGGAAUCUGUGAAUAUGUCAUCUUACACAUCAAAAGAACUUUGAAAAUGUGAUUGAGGUUAAGGACCUUGGAAUGAGGAGAUUACCUUGGAUUAUCUGGUUGGGUCCAAGCUAAUCACAUGAGUCCUUAAAGGAGAAGAACCUUUUUUAGCUGGGUCAGAGAGAGAUGUGAUGAUGAAAACAGGCUCAGGGAGAUGCACUGUAAGAAGGGCUUGACCAGUUGUUUUUGACUUUGAAGAUGGAGGGAAGGGCCAGGAGCCAAGGAAGGUGGGUGGCUUUUGGAAGGUGGAAAAAGCAAGGGAACAUUCUCUCCAGAGCCUCCAGAAAGGAGCUCAGCCCUGUUGACAUCUUUGUUUUUAUUUUUUAUUUUUAGUAGCAUUGAGGUCUCACUAUGUUGCACAGGCUGGUCUUGAACUCUUGAGCUCAAGCACUCCUCCCGCCUUGGCUUCCCAAAGUGCUGGGAUUAUAGGCAUGUGCCACCACAUCUGGCUUCCUACUGACAUCUUAACUUUAGUGCAGUGAGACUCAUAUUUGAAUUUCUGACCUUAUAUUAUAGAACCAUAAGACAUUAUAGAAUUAUAUAGAAUUAUAGAACCAUAAGACAAUAACUUUGUGUUGUUUUAAGAUACUAAAUUUUUGGUAAUUUGUUAUGGCAGCACAAUAAAACCAAUAUAGCAUUAUAUUAUGCCAAUAUCAUCUCUUUGUUGACUAUUGCUAUUAUAGUUUGUUUUAUGGGU